AACCUACGAAGUGAAGUAACGAUUUGUAAUACCCAAAAAAAAAAAACAUACGAAAAUGUGUCUGAUUUAUAUAAAGUGUUAAAGGGAAAUCAAGAUUACGAAGUGAUUCCGAAGUAAGGAUUUGUAAUUACAAACAAGAAAAACCCUAAACAAAAAGGUGUCUGAUUUAUAUAAAGUGUGCAAGUGUAUAUUUAUAAAAUGAAAGCCAUUUUUAGUUUAUCGUGUUUGGUUUUACUUCAUCUGAGUGGUAUUAGUGGAAUAAUAUCCAAGCAACGUCCCCUGUUAUCAUUCGAUUGUCUCAAUCAACUAGGAUGUCAGAUGGUCGAUGGAAAACAAUGUUGUCAGAGUAAAGGGAGACAAUCCAGUCGAGGUUCAAUAAGAACAUCUUUACCUGGUGUCUGUCAAGCAUUCGGUACACUUGGAAGCGCUUGUUUGAUGUACCCUCAACAAUUAAGUGAUGGAACGUACCCUGUCUGUCCAUGUGGUAUAGGUUAUAAAUGUGUUGCCGCAAAAGUGAAAGAUAUGACGUAUGGACAAAUGGGAACAUGUGAAUUACAGUGUACAGAUAAUUCAGAGUGUGGCGAAGAACAGUGCUGUAGAAUUGGUGAUUUAUUAAAAGGAAGAAGGAAAAGAUCGGCCUACACUGGAGUCUGUACAUCAUUCGGUACCCUUGGUUCAAAAUGUGUAAAUGGUACUGAUCCUCUGACAACCAGUAAUGAUGUACAUACAGAAUGUCCAUGUGCCAGCCCGUUAGACUGUACUGUUAGCGAUGGCUACCAGACUAUACCCGUAGACUUUGCAAAAUGUGGAAUUUAAAGACGUUACGGCAUUUGAAAUCUCUUAAAUGGUAUUAGCAACACAAGAUGAAUAGAAACAGAUAAUACAAUACAAAAUAUAUUUAUAUUUCAUGUUAGAAAAUUCAAACCAAAUUCUCUGUAUAUCAGCUGUUAACAUAAUACAUAAUAUAUUUAUAUCUAAUGUUAUCUCCCCCCCCCCACAACCAUGUAUAGCAACAGUUAAUUUAAUACAUAAUAUAUUUAUAUCUGAUGUGAAAACCCCCAAACUACCCUGUAUGUCAACAGUCAAUAUAAUACAUAAUAUAUAUAUAUUGCUCUGUAUAUUAACAGUCAAUCAGUCAAUAUAAUAUAUAUAUAUGAUGUUACCCCCCCCCCCCCCGCCAACCGUGUAUAGCAACAGUUAAUACAAUACAUAAUAUAUUUAUAUCUGAUGUUAAAAACCCCAAACUACCCUGUAUGUCAACAGUCAAUAUAAUACAUUAUAUAUUUAUAUCUAAUGUUAAAACCCUUAACAGAUGAUAUAUUACAACAUGUAAUUAUCAACAGUAAUAUAUUUGAAUAUGAUUUUAAAAACCCCACAAACUACUCUGUAUAUGGUAGACCUAUAUUUGAUGUAUAUUGUUAAACAAUCACAUGAAUAUCAACUUCUAUAUAUAUUGUUAACCAAUUGAAAUAAAUCCGACUUAAAAAGACAUUUUCUUGAUUAAAAUUAUUAGAAAACAAA